AUGGACCAUCUAGAGGUUUCGAUGGCCCAUCAACAGGCUUCGAUGGUCCAUCUAGAGGUGGUGCACGGUGAGGCGGCAGUUUGCAGUGAGCUUGAAACGAAAAGCGCAGAUGUCUCCUUCACAAAUGUUGGCACGGUGAUGAAACUCGAACCAGUUGGUGGCGAUAGUGGCCCUCUUGCCAGUUCCUACCAUAAUACGACACUCGGCGAGCAGACGCCCACCGGCGAGCUUGACCAUGAGUGUAUGAUCAUCUGGAUCAAUGUACUGCAGCAGGUUCUCUUUCAUAUAGUGGACCUGAAAAUUUUGUUAGGAGAAAGCAAGCAAUUCAGAUGA
rnacentral:rRNA from 1 species